UUACAUUGGGGGAUAGCCUUUCGAAAGGGAGAUUAAUACCGCAUAAGACAGUAGCUGGGCAUCCAGCAGCCGUUAAAGAUUUCUCGAUGUAAGCUGGGCAUGCGUCCAAUUAGCUAGUUGGUGAGGUAACGGCUCACCAAGGCUAUGAUUGGUAGGGGAACUGAGAGGUCAAUCCCCCACACUGGCACCGAGAUACGGGCCAGACUCCUACGGGAGGCAGCAGUAGGGAAUAUUGGGCAAUGGACGCAAGUCUGACCCAGCCAUGCCGCGUGCAGGAUGAAGGCGUUAUGCGUUGUAAUCUGCUUUUAUACAGGAAGAAACGACUCUUGCGAGAGGCAUUGACGGUACUGUAUGAAUAAGCACCGGCUAACUCCGUGCCAGCAGCCGCGGUAAUACGGAGGGUGCAAGCGUUGUCCGGAUUUAUUGGGUUUAAAGGGUGCGCAGGUGGUUUAUUAAGUCAGUGGUGAAAGACGGUCGCUCAACGAUUGCAGUGCCAUUGAAACUGGUAGACUUGAGUAAAGUAGAGGUGGGCGGAAUUGAUAGUGUAGCGGUGAAAUGCAUAGAUAUUAUC
rnacentral:rRNA from 1 species